CUCCACUCCAAAAGCACAUCUAAAAUAAGCUAGUCUAUUAUUUGUUUUGUUCAGCAAGAAUGAAUCCGGGCUCUCAAAACUCCAGGAAUUCUGGUUCUCGAUCUAGACCCAAAAAAAUUGAUACCCCAGCAGAUUAUUUGCGUCCUCAGGCAAGUUCUACCAACGCAACUGGUCCUCGAUCUACGAGUGGUAGAGAAAACAAAGUUGAUACCCCAGCAAAUUAUUUGGGUCAAGGAAAAAAUUGAUACCAUGUUACUACAACAUGAAACAGCAAACAGGUUUAUUUGCUAGUGGAACGUAUGUCCGAAGAAAAAUUACAAUAAAAUUUAAUGUUGGUUAAAAGUUCAGUGAUUGUGUGGAAUUGUUUUAGACUCUAGUGUUUACAAAUAAAUUAUUGUAAGUAGGAAGAAGUGCCUAUUAAUUUCGAAAAGUCUUUCUAAAUUUCUAUGUAAGUUUGUAUUUGCAUUUGAUGGUUUAUUAAUAAAUUAAACCAGU